GAGUGAAUAAAUGAAGACUCGGCACACACUUCUGAAAGGUUGCCGACCCCUGACCUACUCAAUACUUCGAAUAGAGAACAUUUUCCUCAUAGAUGAAGUGAAAGGUCCCGGAUGAACAGCUCUUGCGACUGCAGCCCUCUGUCUAUCCCCGCAAAUCCAUAUAGGACCAAAGAGGCGGGGGAACCUUUAUCUGUGAGAACAUUGUGACUGACUCUGGAAAGGCUUACUCUGUCAAUUAAGGCUUCGGCUCCUUCCCGGACUGCCCCGGCAUCCCCCUCG